rnacentral:rRNA from 1 species
AUUGAACGCUGGCGGCAGGCCUAACACAUGCAAGUCGAGCGAGCGGCGGACGGGUGAGUAAUGUCUGGGAAACUGCCUGAUGGAGGGGGAUAACUACUGUAAACGGUAGCUAAUACCGCAUACCAUCAGAUGUGCCCAGAUGGGAUUAGCUAGUAGGUGGGGUAACGGCUUACCUAGGCGACGAUCCCUAGCUGGUCUGAGAGGAUGACCCGCAAAACUGGAACUGAGACACGGUCCAGACUCCUACGGGAGGCAGCAGUGGGGAAUAUUGCACAAUGGGCGCAAGCCUGAUGCAGCCAUGCCGCGUGUGUGAAGAAGGCCUUAGGGUUGUAAAGCACUUUCAGUGGGGAGGCGUUACCCGCAGAAGAAGCACCGGCUAACUCCGUGCCAGCAGCCGCGGUAAUUC